rnacentral:rRNA from 1 species
UACGGGGGGAGCAAGCGUUGUUCGGAUUUACUGGGCGUAAAGGGCGCGUAGGCGGCCAGCACAAGUCAGUUGUGAAAUCUCCGGGCUUAACUCGGAAAGGUCAACUGAUACUGUGCGGCUAGAGUGCAGGAAGGGGCAACUGGAAUUCUCGGUGUAGCGGUGGAAAUGCGUAGAUAUCGAGAGGAACACCUGCGGCGAAGGCGGGUUGCUGGGCUGACACUGACGCUGAUGCGCGAAAGCCAGGGGAGCGAAC